CUUUAACGCUUUAGAGAGAGAGACAGAAGAAACGCGAACCAGAGAAGAAUAACGCGAACGAAGACGAAGCAGCGAGAAGAACGACGACGAACGAAGAGGAUAAAACCCAACGCGACGAACGAAGACGAAUGAAGACCCAACGACUGAAGGCUUUGGUGCCACUGUGAAUGUUGCCAAAACACUAACGGGCUCAACUGUGGCUAUUUUUGGAUUGGGAGCAGUAGGCCUAGCGGUGAGUUUCAAUCCACAGUAUUUUGUGGUAUCCUUGGAAGGGAGCACACUGGAACAGACCAAUCCUCUGAUGAUGUUCAGGAUUUUCAAGUUCUCGAAGAAUUUUCCAAUAGUUUUGUGCGCUGGGUGACUUUUGGAGAGACACUCAGCUAUUGAGUAUUGACUUGAUUUCCCUUGCAUUGGUUACUCAUUCCAUCUUGCUCAACCCUGACUUAUACUGAGGAUUUCAAUUCUUGAGGGGGAACACAGAGCAUAGGGGCAAUGGUGGAAAAAGAGAAUUGAAAGAAGCCUGUGGUGAAGGCAGUUCCUUUGCUGGAUUGUUUCCUAGGAGAGCAAACUAGACCUUGAUGCAAAGUUGAUGAGAGAGUAAAUAGCCAACAGUUUUUAAGAUUCUUUUAGAAGCACUUCUUGUCUUAAUUUCUUUCUCUUCAGAAGUUUAUAUGGACUUGGUAGUUUUUCAUGUUGUAAAUAUACACUAGUAUAUAGUAAACUCAUAGACAUACUGAGACAGGGCGAAAGAGUUGUGAUAUCAUUUUUUGAGUUUUUCUUCCCAA